CCAGGGUGGAGCCCCUGGGCUCCUAUAAGGGCAGCCACUGAAGGGAGAGCAUCCCUUGGACCUAGGAUGCUUCUAGAGAUGAAAUGCUGUAUGGCCAGAGAGCUUCUUCACCAGUUGGUUGAGUUUGGCUUUUCUUUCUGUAUGUGACUAUUGGUCUACUUGUGAAUUCUCUACCUAGUAUUGCCAAGGACCUGGCAGAAGCAAUUUUCCUUCUUCAUAUAACAGAACAGAUAACCCUUUUUGUUAAGGUAAAUAGAAACCAGGGUUUCCAUGGGCCAUCAACGCAUGUCAAGUCAAAAGCUCUUUCUGCUCUGAAAUAUACAGUCCGUUCCCUUUUUGCUACAGCUCUACGUAAGAGACAUGGAACUCAUUUGGAUGCAGUUCAAAUAACAAUGUCACUUUCUGACUGCCUCAAGGAUCUGACAGGAGGAAUUGAGUAUGCUGCCAAGAUAUUAAAUGAAAUUCCCCAGAAAGACAUUCAGUGCACUAAAAGAGCCUCAAAGGCAGAAAGGGAAGGAAAUGGGCAAGGCCAGUGUUUUCUGCCUACACUGUGGGAUGUUUUUGAGGCUGUCCUGGAAGCACUUACAGGGAUUCCCACACUUUUUCAGGGAUAGCCAACGAUAUCCUGGGUUAUUGCAGCGAUGAAUAUGCAUCACAGCACUGCAUCAUUUCAAUGGGAACAAGAAGGAGGGAGAGGGAGUGCAGCAGGGACCUCUGAUGCUGCCUUUGCCACCAAGGAGUACACAUUGUGUAACUGCACUCUGAAAAUUAAAUGUUAUGCUUUCAUGCUCUUCUUCUUCUUCUGUGUGCUGUAAUUAAAAGCCUCUUUGGUUUGUGG
ensembl:lncRNA